AUGUGCAGAACAUGCAGGUUUGUUACAUAGCUGUACGUGUGCCAUGGUGGUUUGCUGCACCUAUUGACCUAUCCUACCAAGUGUGUUGGGGACUUGAGAUAUGUACAUGAGUGUUUGUGAUGUUUCCUGGUGAAAGCACAGGUGAGACGUGGUCUUGUAACACAGUGGUUAAGAAUGUGACUUUGGAGCCAGCCUGCUAGGGGCUGAAUUCUGACUCAGCCAUUUAUUAACUGUGUGACCUUAGGCUGGCGUGCAAUGGCGUGAUCUCGGCUCACCACAACCUCUGCUUCCCGGGUUCAAGCGAUUCUCCUGCCUCAGCCUCCCGAGUACCUGGGACUACAGGCACUCGCCACCAUG
rnacentral:antisense_RNA from 1 species